rnacentral:rRNA from 1 species
ACACCCGGUCCCAUCCCGAACCCGGAAGUUAAGCCUGACAGCGCCAAUGGUACUGCAACCGAGAGGCUGUGGGAGAGUAGGACGCCGCCGGAC